UCUAACGUUGGCCCCUUACCGGGGUUGCGGACAGUGUCUGGUGGGUAGUUUGACUGGGGCGGUCUCCUCCCAAAGCGUAACGGAGGAGCACGAAGGUUAGCUAAUCCUGGUCGGACAUCAGGAGGUUAGUGCAAUGGCAUAAGCUAGCUUGACUGCGAGCGUGACGGCGCGAGCAGGUGCGAAAGCAGGUCAUAGUGAUCCGGUGGUUCUGAAUGGAAGGGCCAUCGCUCAACGGAUAAAAGGUACUCCGGGGAUAACAGGCUGAUACCGCCCAAGAGUUCAUAUCGACGGCGGUGUUUGGCACCUCGAUGUCGGCUCAUCACAUCCUGGGGCUGAAGUAGGUCCCAAGGGUAUGGCUGUUCGCCAUUUAAAGUGGUACGCGAGCUGGGUUUAGAACGUCGUGAGACAGUUCGGUCCCUAUCUGCCGUGGGCGCUGGAGAAUUGAGGGGGGCUGCUCCUAGUACGAGAGGACCGGAGUGGACGCAUCACUGGUGUUCGGGUUGUCAUGCCAAUGGCACUGCCCGGUAGCUAAAUGCGGAAGAGAUAAGUGCUGAAAGCAUCUAAGCACGAAACUUGCCCCGAGAUGAGUUCUCCCUGAGACUU
rnacentral:rRNA from 1 species